ensembl:snRNA U6 U6 spliceosomal RNA
GCUCGCUUCGGCAGCACAUACAAUAAGUGAAAUGACAGAGAACAUUAGCAUGGCUCCUGUGCAAAGAUGACUUGCAAAUUCAUUUAGUGUUCCCUAAUUUUU